AUACGUAGGGGGCAAGCGUUAUCCGGAUUUACUGGGUGUAAAGGGAGCGUAGACGGUUUGGCAAGUCUGAUGUGAAAGCCCGGGGCUCAACCGCGGGACUGCAUUGGAAACUGUCAGACUUGAGUGCAGGAGAGGUAAGUGGAAUUCCUAGUGUAGCGGUGAAAUGCGUAGAUAUUAGGAGGAACACCGGUGGCGAAGGCGGCUUACUGGUAUGUAAAUGACGUUCAGGCUCGAAAGCGUGGGGAGCAAACAGGAUUAGAUACCCUGGGAGUCCACGCCGUAAACGAUGAAUACUAGGUGUUGGGAGACAAUAGUUUCUCGGUGCCGCAGCAAACGCAAUAAGUAUUCCACCUGGGGAGUACGUUCGCAAGAAUGAAACUCAAAUGAAUUGACGGGG
rnacentral:rRNA from 1 species